AAUGACAAUUAAUCAUGAUAUCCUGUGUUUUACCUUUGAAAGAAUUGUCUCUUGUUAUAUGCUAGUGUUUUUCUAACCUGAUACAAUCUUGUCUUUGUGGAACUUAGUCAUAAGACUGGGCGUAUAGCUAUGGUCCGCUUGGGUGAGGCCGCAGCAUGUGACAUCCCGUGGGUUUACUGCCUACAGAAAGUCACGUACGGAAACUUGCAGAAAGGAGCACAUGUUUUGCUGUUGUGAAUGCAGUUAGACGGUUGAUUCCUCGUGCUAUCAACCUUGUGCUAUCUUGAGUCUGCACACACAACUAAAUACCUUUUACACACUAUCUGCUGAAUGUCACGUAUUCAAAAAGGAUGUGCUUCUCUAUAAAAACUUUGAACCGGCACUGUUCGUUGAGCUUUUCAAAUAUUCCAAAACAAAUUGGUGACAACGGUGGGAUGCCAACUCCUCUUCCUGAUUGUUCCCGGGAGACUGAGGGUAAACUGCUCGCAGUGGCUCCGUUAAACGUGAGUCAGGUUACCACACACGGACUAAAACCGAGCAGAGAAGGACACGCCUCGGACCUGCUGAGAGUGUCACUGACUGUGUUGGGGGCAUGCCAGGGCCCCAAUGUAAUCGCGGCCUGCCCGUGUACCAGGAGUGCUGCUGUCAGUAGAGAACGUGUGCUCCAGCUCAGACGAAAGGCAACUGCAGUUCCAACCUUGUCCAGUAGAGUGCAGUAGAGGACAAGUAUCAUCAUGGGGCAUCACCAGAAUUAUCAGACUACAGAUAUUCUGCUCUCCUUGGUCCAAGAGGCUGAGACAGAAGCCCAUCUCUGGGUCAGCACCCCAAAGAGAGAGAGGGAGUUGACGAGGGGGGUGGAAUAGAGGGCCCUAUAAGUGAAUGAUCUGCUCAUCGUGGAUGCGUCCCAAGUGGCAUCCUAUUCCAUACUAAGUGCACUAAAUUUGACCAAGGCUCUUAGGAAAUAGGAUGCCAUUUGGGAGGCAUACAGUGACCAAACCAGGCAAUUUUUUCCUGCUGUGCAGACUGCAAUAGCAUCUAACUGUUCUUGAACAGCUCUGCUGCUCUUUCUUUAAGCCUGCUUUUACAUGAAUGUAUCAGCCUCUGUGUAACCUUAGUCACUUUCUAUUGAAAUUCUAAAGCAGUAACAAUUUGAUAUAUUAUAAAACAAUCACAGAAUGUAUGAAGUUUAACUGAACCUCUUUAAGCUUUAAAUAUUUCCUGAGCUAAUAUAUUUUAAUGUGCCUCACCACCAAUGUCAUGUUAUGAUAAUCGAAUGUGGAAUUGUUUACUGUUAUGUUGCUCUGUGUAGAAUUGUAAAACAAAAUAUAUAUCAAAUGUAUGUUGCAAUGUUGAUGACACUGAUUACUCAAUGUAUUUAUUUACAGUAUAUUACACCUAUGUCUGCCUCUG